rnacentral:rRNA from 1 species
UGACCUCGGAUCAGGUAGGGAUACCCGGCUGAACUUAAGCAUA